rnacentral:rRNA from 1 species
UGGGGAAUAUUGCCCAAUGGGCGAAAGCCUGAUGCAGCAACGCCGCGUGAGGGACGACGGCCUUCGGGUUGUAAACCUCUUUUAGCAGGGAAGAAGCGAAAGUGACGGUACCUGCAGAAAAAGCACCGGCUAACUACGUGCCAGCAGCCGCGGUAAUACGUAGGGUGCAAGCGUUGUCCGGAAUUAUUGGGCGUAAAGAGCUCGUAGGCGGUUUGUCACGUCUGCUGUGAAAACCCGAGGCUCAACCUCGGGCUUGCAGUGGGUACGGGCAGACUAGAGUGCGGUAGGGGAGAUUGGAAUUCCUGGUGUAGCGGUGGAAUGCGCAGAUAUCAGGAGGAACACCGAUGGCGAAGGCAGAUCUCUGGGCCGUAACUGACGCUGAGGAGCGAAAGCAUGGGGAGCAAACAGGCUUAGAUACCCUGGUAGUCCAUGCCGUAAACGUUGGGAACUAGAUGUGGGGACCAUUCCACGGUCUCCGUGUCGUAGCUAACGCAUUAAGUUCCCCGCCUGGGGAGUACGGCCGCAAGGCUAAAACUCAAAGGAAUUGACGGGGUCAUAGCUG